GCUACGGGAGGCUGCAGUGAGGAAUAUUGGUCAAUGGACGCAAGUCUGAACCAGCCAUGCCGCGUGCAGGAAGACGGCUCUAUGAGUUGUAAACUGCUUUUGUACGAGGGUAAAUCCCGCUACGUGUAUCGGGUUGAAAGUAUCGUACGAAUAAGGAUCGGCUAACUCCGUGCCAGCAGCCGCGGUAAUACGGAGGAUUCAAGCGUUAUCCGGUUUUAUUGGGUUUAAAGGGUGCGGAGGGGGUCUGUUAAGUCAGCGGUCAAAGCCCGGGGCUCACCCCCGGCCCGCCGUUGAAACUGGCAGUCUCGAGUUGGAGAGAAGUAUGCGGAAUGCGCGGUGUAGCGGUGAAAUGCAUAGAUAUCGCGCAGAACUCCGAUUGCGAGGGCAGCAUGCCGGCUCCACACUGACGCUGAGGCACGAAAGCGUGGGUAUCGAACAGGAUUAGAUACCCCUGUAGUC
rnacentral:rRNA from 1 species